UGGGGAAUUUUGCACAAUGGGGGAAACCCUGAUGCAGCGACGCCGCGUGAUUUAGAAGGCCUUCGGGUUGUAAAAAUCUUUUCUAUGGGAAGAAAAUGACAGUACCAUAGGAAUAAGGACCGGCUAAUUACGUGCCAGCAGCCGCGGUAAUACGUAAGGUCCGAGCGUUGUCCGGAAUCAUUGGGCGUAAAGGGUACGUAGGCGGGUAAGCAAGUUAGAAGUGAAAUCCUAUAGCUCAACUAUAGUAAGCUUUUAAAACUGCUCAUCUUGAGGUAUGGAAGAGAAAGUGGAAUUACUAGUGUAGCGGUGAAAUGCGCAGAUAUUAGGAGUAAUACCGGUGGCCAUGGCGACUUUCUGGCCAUAACCUGACGCCGAGGUACGAAAGCGUGGGUAGCAAACAGG
rnacentral:rRNA from 1 species